rnacentral:rRNA from 1 species
AGAGUUUGAUCCUGGCUCAGGAUGAACGCUGGCGGCGUGCUUAACACAUGCAAGUCGAACGAGCAGAUAGGAGCUUGCUCCUUGAAGCUAGUGGCGGACGGGUGAGUAACGCGUGGGUAACCUGCCCUAUAGAGGGGGAUAACGUUUGGAAACGAACGCUAAUACCGCAUAAACUAUGGAGUAUCGCAUGAUACUUAUAGCAAAGAUUUCAAGUCAAAUUGAGUUCGCUAUAGGAUGGACCCGCGUUGGAUUAGCUAGUUGGUGAGAUAACAGCCCACCAAGGCGACGAUCCAUAGCCGGCCUGAGAGGGUGAACGGCCACAUUGGGACUGAGAUACGGCCCAAACUCCUACGGGAGGCAGCAGUGGGGAAUAUUGCACAAUGGGCGAAAGCCUGAUGCAGCAACGCCGCGUGAAGGAAGAAGGUCUUCGGAUUGUAAACUUCUAUCAGUAGGGAAGAAAAGGAGUUGAAAAACACUCCUGUGACGGUACCUAACUAAGAAGCUCCGACUAACUACGUGCCAGCAGCCGCGGUAAUACGUAGGGAGCAAGCGUUAUCCGGAUUUACUGGGUGUAAAGGGUGCGUAGGCGGCCACCUAAGUCUAAAGUGAAAUUUCGGGGCUCAACCCCGGAGCUGCUUUGGAAACUGGGAGGCUAGAGUAUAGGAGAGGAAAGCGGAACUCCACGUGUAGCGGUGAAAUGCGUAGAGAUGUGGAGGAACACCAGUAGCGAAGGCGGCUUUCUGGACUAUUACUGACGCUGAGGCACGAAAGCGUGGGGAGCAAACAGGAUUAGAUACCCUGUAGUCCACGCCGUAAACGAUGAAUGCUAGGUGUUGGCCUUUACGGAGGUCUGUGCCGAAGUAAACACAUUAAGCAUUCCACCUGGGGAGUACGACCGCAAGGUUGAAACUCAAAGGAAUUGACGG